GGGCCGCUAGCUCAUCUGGCAGAGCGCCGUGCUGAUAACGCGGAGGUAGGUGGUUCGAGUCCACCGCGGCCCACCA
rnacentral:tRNA from 1 species